GACAUAGGUGGCGAACGUUAUCCGGAAUUAUUGGGCGUAAAGGGUGCGUAGGUGGUUGAAUAAGUUAUUGGUGGGAAAUCGGGGCUCAACUCCGUGGAAGCCAGUAAUACUAUUCAACUUGAGGACCGGAGAGGUUAACGGAAUUCUAUGUGUAGCGGUAAAAUGCGUAAAUAUAUAGAGGAACACCAAUCAGCGAAGGCAGUUAACUAUUCGGUUCCUGACGUUGAGGCACGAAAGCGUGGGGAGCAAGACGG
rnacentral:rRNA from 1 species